rnacentral:rRNA from 1 species
GUGGGGAAUAUUGGACAAUGGGGGAAACCCUGAUCCAGCGACGCCGCGUGAGUGAAGAAGUAUUUCGGUAUGUAAAGCUCUAUCAGCAAGGAAGAUAAUGACGGUACUUGACUAAGAAGCCCCGGCUAACUACGUGCCAGCAGCCGCGGUAAUACGUAGGGGGCAAGCGUUAUCCGGAUUUACUGGGUGUAAAGGGAGCGUAGACGGUAUGGCAAGUCUGAUGUGAAAGCCCGGGGCUCAACCGCGGGACUGCAUUGGAAACUGUCAGACUAGAGUGCAGGAGAGGUAAGUGGAAUUCCUAGUGUAGCGGUGAAAUGCGUAGAUAUUAGGAGGAACACCGGUGGCGAAGGCGGCUUACUGGACUGUAACUGACGUUGAGGCUCGAAAGCGUGGGGAGCAAACAGG